UCACUCUGGUUUCCCUUCAAUACACGCAUAAAUCUUUCGCCUUUUACUAAAGAUUUCCGUGGAGGGGAACAAUUGAUGAGUCUUUAACUAAUUUUUUGUGAUCCCGGCGCAAGCUGGGGC